rnacentral:rRNA from 1 species
UACAGAGGGUGCAAGCGUUGUUCGGAAUUAUUGGGCGUAAAGCGCGUGUAGGCGGCUUGGCAAGUCGGGUGUGAAAUCCCUCAGCUCAACUGAGGAAGUGCGCCCGAAACUGCUUUGCUUGAGUGCCGGAGAGGAUGGCGGAAUUCCCCAAGUAGAGGUGAAAUUCGUAGAUAUGGGGAGGAACACCGGUGGCGAAGGCGGCUACCUGGCCCACUCUUGACGCUGAGGCGCGAAAGCUAGGGGAGCAAACGGG